GGGUUGUGAGGUUAAGCGACUAAGCGUACACGGUGGAUGCCCUGGCAGUCAGAGGCGAUGAAGGACGUGCUAAUCUGCGAUAAGCGUCGGUAAGGUGAUAUGAACCGUUAUAACCGGCGAUUUCCGAAUGGGGAAACCCAGUGUGUUUCGACACACUAUCAUUAACUGAAUCCAUAAGGUUAAUGAGGC
rnacentral:rRNA from 1 species